rnacentral:rRNA from 1 species
GACGAACGCUGGCGGCGUGCCUAAUACAUGCAAGUAGAACGCUGAAGGGAGGAGCUUGCUCUUCUUGGGUGAGUUGCGAACGGGUGAGUAACGCGUAGGUAACCUGCCUUGUAGCGGGGGAUAACUAUGGGAAACGAUAGCUAAUACCGCAUAACAAUGGAUGACACAUGGCAUUUAUGUGAAAGGGGCAAUUGCUCCACUACAAGAUGGACCUGCGUUGUAUUAGCUAGUAGGUGAGGUAAUGGCUCACCUAGGCGACGAUACAUAGCCGACCUGAGAGGGUGGUCGGCCCCCCUGGGACUGGGACCCGGCCCAGACUCCUUCGGGAGGCAGCAGUAGGGAAUCUUCGGCAAUGGGGGCAACCCUUACCGAGCAACGCCGCGUGAGUGAAGAAGGUUUUCGGAUCGUAAAGCUCUGUUGUAAGUCAAGAACGGGUGUGAGAGUGGAAAGUUCACACUGUGACGGUAGCUUACCAGAAAGGGACGGCUAACUACGUG